GUAGGUGGCGAACGUUAUCCGGAAUUAUUGGUGCGUAAAGGGUGCGUAGAUGGCCUGAUAAGUUAGCAGUGGGAAAUCGAGGCUCAACCUCGUGGAAGCUGGUAAUACUGUCAGGCUCGAGUGCAGGAGAGGUUAACGGAACUCCAUGUGGAGCGGUAAAAUGUGUAGAUAUAUGGAAGAACACCGAUAACGGCGAAGGCAGUUAACUAUUCUGUUACUGACGUUGAGGCACGAAAGCGUGGGGGAGCAAA
rnacentral:rRNA from 1 species